CCUGUCUGCUUUUAUUCUCAAACAACUGAUUCCUUUUGCAGAUAAUCGUCCAUGAAGUCAUAUGGACCACAGAAGAGAAAGAGAGUUGAUACAAACAUAAACCAGGAUGAAUGCAUCAGUGCUAAUGUAAAGAAACCUGCCAAUGUAACUGGUCAGGAGCCUCAGAGCUCUCCAGGUUAGGCAACUGGAUAAACUAACAUUAGUAUUGUACAUGGUAUGGACACCAGCUUGUUUUUUACACCUUUCAUCCCGUCUUAUUUCUUGCAAAUCUAGUCCCGGUUAUGUUCAAAUAGGCUUUCUUGCGUUUAUUAACCUCAUUUCAUUGAAAUCCAGAUUUAUUAUGUUGGGAGCUCAUGUUUAUCUUAUUUAGUCCGUUUUUUAUGGUUAAAGGCUCUCAUAAUAUGUUGGGAGCUCCACAUUUAGAUCAUCCAAUUAAGCUGCAGGUUCCAUCUAGAAAAAUUAAGCUGCAGCUUUUCCCAAUAAAUGAACAAGCUCGCUUAGGAUUAGAGAAGGAUGGACACAAUCCAUUUCUAGAGCUCACUCUAAGUGCUCGGAAGAGGAUAUCAUCAGUUGUUAGGCACCUGGAUGCUAAGUGGAGUUCUUCAAGUGCAGUGACAGGUCAACUCAUGCUUUUUCCCUACAACACAAAGUUGGAACAGUUGAAAUCAUGCAGAAGAUGGACUUUUAAUGACAGUGCCAUCCGUGUAUGGGAGGUGUAUAUUGAUGUGGGCAGCCCUUCCAUUUUCCGCCUAAGGUAUGGGUGGUUGUGCAGUCAUCAGCAGUUUGCAAUUCUAGUCUUCUAGAGGCUCAUACAGGUUCUGAGGACAAAAACAGCUCACCCAGAAUUUCGGUGAUCCCAAAUCACCAAGAGGCACAAACAAAUGAAUCUUGUGAAAUCCUUAAAAUACAAGGAAAUGCUGAUACAAUUUUGCGUUCAGGCGUGAAUGAGCUGAAAGCUUCAGAUGCACUAACUGGUUUGGUGGACGAUAAAGUGACGACUGAGACUGAUCCAGUUUGCUCGAGUGUACCUUGGGAUAACGAUAUGACCAUGUUGAGCAUUGGAGGCCUCCUAUCUGAAAUAUCAUUGCAGGGGAAAAUUAGUGGAUCACAUGCCAGCUCUAUAAGCAAAACUCACGUGCAGCCUAUUGCACCAACAUCUGACUUGAGCAUCCGUGAUCUGCUCUCUCAAGAUUCUUGCUUGGGUAAGAUGAGAUGUCCAAGCAUGCAACAGGAAAGUGAAUCAUCCUUGCAACCUCUUUUUCUGGGAUCCAGUGAUGUAAGCAUUGGGGGAUUAUUUUCUGAAGCAUCAUUACUUGCAAAAUUGAAAAAGUCAUCAGCGGAAGCAAGCCUUGCACCACUCCAAUCUCCAUGGGAUGAUAAUUUUACUGCCUUAAGCAUUGGGGGCUUGUUAUCUGAGGCAUCGUUGGAGGCCAAUGCUGGUAGUAAGGUGGAAUUAAAAGAGAUCACCUCUUGCACCUUCCCGAAAGCCAAAACUAUCUAUGCAAGAAGCAAACUUAUCCAUUUUAGAUGCUGAAGAGACAUGCCAUGCUUUUCCCAUUCAGAAGUUUCAGUCAAACUGAAUUGGUACAAGCUCAAAACAAUCCCAAAUUCCAAGGGCUGCUAAGGCGAUCAAUGGAAUGCUUUUUCCCAAAGAUUCUUCUCAUCAAGGAUUGGACAAAGAUUGCUUGGCUCGUCCGGUAGGAACCUUUGACGAGGAUAGUAGACUGUGGCCUUUCAGAUUGACCAUUCGAUUGACUAUUGGAUGCAGCUGGAGCUGGUUGAGACAAUAUCAAUCUGCGUAAAUAUGAUGUUUUAUUCUCCAAGAAAGCUAUCAAGAGGAAAAACUUGCCAGGGUCUUAAAUUGGAACAUUGAGGAGCUUCUAAUGCAAUGCCGGUUCUUAUUAAGUACAUUUUAUAGUUUACAUUUGUUCAACACUCUUGAGCAAGAUGUGUUUUGGUUGAGACAGAAGAAUGGUUCAAACUCUCUCUAUUCAGAAAAUUGUUUACUCAAGGUACACAGUGUAUACGAUUUUCACAAUAAGAUGAGCUUCUUCCAUAUGGGAUUCAAUUUUUUGUUAUUAAACACUAACUCAAUAUUCUCUUCUGUCUUUUUGCAUACAUUUGAAAGCAACAAAAUAAUGUAUACAUCUUUGAUCUCUAUCUUUGUUACUCAACUCCAAAUUUAUAACCAUGAAUCAGUCUGAUCUUCGUUGUCUUGGAUAAUUUUUUACUCUUAUUGUGCUUUCAUGUCUAAUUCCAUUUCAUCAAUACUAACAUGAGAUAAAACCAAGAAGACAUUAUUCAUUCAUAUAGAAUCAUCACCAGAUGUAAAAAGCCAAGAGGAGAAAAGGAUAUGUACACAAUCCCACUUCAUUCUAGCUGAAACAAGUAGUAGCAAAAUAUUACAGUUCUGAACAAUGGAGGAAA